rnacentral:lncRNA from 1 species
CAAACUAUUUUUAAUACAUUGAAAGGCGUGUUCAUGUUCUUUAUUCCAAUUAAACUUUACAUUCUUCUUUAACAGGGGAUACAAAUGAACUGUCAAUUGAGACAAUCUUUCAAUUAACUGAGAGUAAUAUUGUGACAUGCCUAAAAAUCUAUACAGCUCAUCUUUUGAUUUUGGAGUUGAUACUUUUUGGAUUGCCUUUACCUUACAUUCUAGAGGCCUAAAACCUUUUGAUGAAAUAGAAAUGUCCAAGGAAGAGUACCGAUUUCAUGAAAAACUCAUAUUUUUCAGGGGAGAGGAUCAUACCAGCUGUUUUAACUCUUGAUAAAACCACGCUCAACGUUUUCCAAUGCUCCUCCAUCGACUCCGAAGCGACAAGGAUAUCAUCAAGGUACACAAACACAUUUGGAAUUCCUAGUAGAAUUGAAUCGAAGAGUCUCUGAAAUGUCUGAGCAGCAUUUUUAAGACCAAAAGGCAUCCUCAAAUAUUCAUAUAAACCAAGUAAUAAUUGCAGUUUUAUUUAUAGAAGUUCUAUUUAUAGAUUAGCCACCAAAUCUCUUAGAUUUGGGAGGGGAUACCAAUCAAGGCCUGUCAUCCUAUUUAAUUGACGAUAGUCGCCGCACAUUCACCAGCUUCCUUUGGGUUUUCUAACGACGUGAAUAGCUGAAGAAAAUUUAGAAGAAGACGAUCGUAGGAUUCCUUUCUUCAACAAAUUGUUGGAAUUCGUCUGGUACAAAAUUUAACUUUUCACCAUCUAACUUGCAUGAUUUCACAAAAUAGGAGGACCAUUCGUCUCGAUAUGGUGUUCAACUCCCUGAGCUAGAUAAGUUUCAAUGAAAAUUUUAUUAUCAAAGACAAUAAAUUUCCAUUGGAAUUCUCCUAGAUUUUUCUAGAUUGAGAGUUAAAGUUGUUGUACCAAUAACAUCAACAUAUCUAAUAAUAGGGAGAGUUUUUCGCGAACAAGACUUUUACAUUUUUAAGUGUAAUAACAGACACUUGCGCUCCUGUAUCUAUCAGAAAUUUAAUCAAAUUAUAAUUGUCUUUCAUGAAAAAUAAGUUUUAUGAUUUAUUUACAGUCUCGGUCCCGUGCAACUGAGGACUAUUUAGUUUUUUGAAACAAGUACAAAAAAGUGGUAACUAGCUCCUGAACAAAUUGAGUAAAUUUGGACGUGUUAUGAAGAGGUUUUUUGAAAACAUGAUUGAUAGGAGGCGAAGCGGACGAGUCUUCAACAGGGGAAAUAUGUGAAUUACUAGGUUCUUUGGCUGCAACACACAUUUGCUUCAACUGAAUGGGACUGUGAUCUCAAGUGCCCUUGCUGGUCUUUUAUUCAUAUUUCUGAUAAGGGCCUCCUGUAGUAAAUGAUGACGCAAAUCAUGGAUGUAUUCCUAGUCAGGGAGACGCUCAACUUCAUCUAUAACUUCCCCAGGGGAAAAUCUCGAUGAGCUCCAAUUUUAAUUCUAUCUGAAGGAAUAUACCUAAAACUUCACCAGGUAAUGAUGGAGCCAUUAAACAAUAUUUGUUCUGAUUUUCAUUGAUCUUCCUCAUCAAAAAAUCCGGCUCAAUUCUCCAAAACCAAUUUUCCAGAUCCAUUGCCGAUAAUUUUUGAAGACGUAGUUCUGCUACGGCAAGAGUUAAGUUGCUGACCUCUUCCGCUACGUACUUUUGUUCGAUCUGAGGAACACUGUCCGCAUGUUCUUAACCAUCAUAAUGAUAUUUUUAGGAGGCAUGAUAUCACGUUGCUGUCACCAAUGUUAAGAUUUAAAUAUCUUUAUUUUAACAAUAA